UAUAUUUUAGUGUACGAAGCACAAAAGUUUUUGAUACUUUAAGGAAUAGUUUAAUUCUAUUAAAUAUAA
rnacentral:tRNA from 1 species